rnacentral:rRNA from 1 species
GAAUCUUGCGCAAUGGCCGCAAGGCUGACGCAGCGACGCCGCGUGUGGGAUGACGGCCUUCGGGUUGUAAACCACUGUCGGGGGGGACGAAUACGGGGCUCCGAAUAGGGCACCCCGGGUGACGGUACCUCCCGAGGAAGCACCGGCUAACUCCGUGCCAGUAGCCGCGGUAAUACGGAGGGUGCGAGGGUUGUCCGGAAUCGCUGGGCGUAAAGGGCGCGUAGGCGGUUCGGUAAGUCGUUGGUGAAAUCCCGGGGCUCAACCCCGGGGCUGCCGACGAGACUGCCGAGCUAGAGGCCGGUAGAGGCAGAUGGAAUUCCCGGUGUAGCGGCGGAAUGCGUAGAGAUCGGGAAGAACACCAGUGGCGAAGGCGGUCUGCUGGGCCGGUCCUGACGCUGAGGCGCGAAAGCGUGGGGAGCAAACAGG